AAAAAGGUGUGUGGAUUUCUUGUCUUAGUGAUUGAAGAAAUUUGUGUCAUGGAAGAGAGGGAAGAGUGUAAUGUUAGCACCAGGAGUGGAGGGGAAUGAGAUGAGAAAUGCUUGCUUUUCUUUCUAUCAUUGUUAGUCAUCCAAUUUGGAAUGACAUUCAAAAUUGGAACUACCUGAAAUAGUCACCAAUAUGUGCAAGGAAAGGAGAAGAAGAAGAAGGAAAUGAAGCCAUUUUACUUUUGUUUGCUCUUGGCAGUUCAAUUCUGAUUCACCUAUAGAGGCAGAAGAGUUUCAUGGCAUGAAAGAGUGCAAAGUGGGGGAAGCAAUCACCACGAGAUAUGAAGAUAUUACAAAUACAUUGGAUCAAGUAAUGAUAACAGAACACCAUUCUUGGUUGAACUCAAAACCACGGUCCAUAUAGGUAAGCACAGCUUGCUUAAGAGGGAAUGGUUAUGCAAAUGAAUGAAAUUUUAUUUUAUGGCACCAUAAUUGGGAGAACAUGAGGUUUUAGUGGCACCUUUAAAACUGUCUACACCAUUCAGGAUCGAGGAAUGUACUAAAAAGAUCUUCCUUGCCAUUAGAAAAUUUAACAUUUAACUUUUCAUUGCUGCCUCAACCUUGCAAACUGCUCCAUUAUAUCUGUUUGAUAAUUUUUCAUUUGAAUCUCAUCCAUUUUACUUAAUGGGAGUAGACAUAGCUCAGGAGCGGCUUUUGUGGUUUAUGAGAUUAUUUACAAUGGAUGAAGAAGAUAAGAUCAAUCACAAAGUGGAAACACCAUCAGCAAUAUCAAGGAUUCAAUUGAGGAAGGAAAUGAGCACGAGCCUGAAACCACUCACAAAGGAAAGUGACGAAGAUAAUGCCUCUCAAAAUAUAUUAUAUGCUCUAAAUCCCAGCCACUAGAAAACAUUCCUUGCUUUACAAUAGACCUCCGAGGACAGAGAAAGGAUGUUUGGUGAGCACUUGGGGAUGCGAGCAUGGAUUUUGAACUGCCAAGGGAAAUCACAGAUGAAGCUCAUUUUGCUAGUGGCCAGAGAGUGUUGAAGUUACAAGCAUGGAGAUUGGUGUUGUGCACUACAGUGUUGAGUUUUAUUGUGAUGAAGAUUUGAGAUUGACCUCAAUUUCAUCUUUUGUGCCCUUGUCCUUUGUGUUCUCCUCAUCAUCAGGUUUAAAUUGGAGCCUAAACCAAUUGGAGUAGUGUAGUUUAUACUGGUCAAAUUUGUUAAGCAAUGAUGCACCUGAAUAUCCAUGUAUUUCGUGCUGGGGUGCAAGAUAGCUAAUUGAGAAAGCUCCAUAGGCAGAAUGGCAAAUCUCUAUAUGGCAGAGAAACAAAGCUCCCUUUCUCUCCUCCCUGAAGCUCUGUCCUUGUUUACAAAGCUC